GCCACCGCCGGUCUAUAUCACCAGUUCACCACGCGUCCCAUGUCGCAGGUUCCCUCUGCUCCCAUCCCAUUCCCUUUCCCAUCCCAGCACGCGGCUCUCCGGCUGCCGAACCUUCUCGAGCCCCCAUCUCCUGCUCUCCCCACCGCUUUCCACGCAGAAAACAAUGAGCAGGCGGAACAGCCGCACCAUCUAUGUAGGCAACCUCCCUGGGGACAUCCGUGAGAGGGAAGUUGAGGACCUCUUCUACAAGUAUGGUCGAAUUUUGGAUAUUGACCUGAAGAUACCUCCAAGACCUCCUGGAUACGCUUUCGUUGAGUUUGAGGACCCACGUGACGCUGAUGACGCAAUUUAUGGGCGUGAUGGGUAUAACUUUGAUGGCUACAGGUUGCGGGUUGAAUUAGCUCAUGGUGGAAGAGGUCAGUCUUACUCUUAUGAUCGUUCUAGCAGCUAUAGCAGCACACGCCGUGGAGGUGUUUCUAGGCGCUCUGAUUACUGUGUUAUGGUCACGGGUUUACCUUCAUCAGCAUCAUGGCAAGAUCUGAAGGACCACAUGCGGCGCGCUGGUGAUGUUUGUUUCUCUGAUGUAUACCGUGAGGCCAGAGAAACUAUUGGAAUUGUGGAUUAUACAAACUAUGAAGACAUGAAAUAUGCGAUCAGGAAGCUUGAUGACUCACUGUUCAGGAAUGCAUUUUCUAGGGCGUACAUCAGAGUGAGGGAGUAUGAUGCUAGAUCACGAAGCAGAAGCCGUAGCCGCUCGUACUUGAGAAGCCCCAGUUACAGCAGGAGCAGGAGUCCGAAAUCUGUUUCUCAGUCACCAUCACCUGUGGAUGAAAGGUAUGUGAAUAUAUAUUGAUGGGAAAUGUGCAUUUGUGAAAUUGUAACUGCUUGUGUUGAAUCUGCAUGUUAUGCCUGGAAAUUUUUUGUUAGAAGGAACAUGAUACUUAGUACUUACUCAUCAAUUAAAUGGUGAAAGCAGUCAGAUCUUGUUCUUUGUCAUCUUCAACAUAUGGUGUGGACAUGCAGGACACCUAUGGUGCUAAAAAAUAAGGAAGCCUCAUGCCAUAAUUUUGUGAACUAGCCCGAAGCGAGGCACAUUUAUUAUUGUAAUACUUAUUUGUUUCCUAUCAUCUGGUACAUGUUCAACAAACAAAAAGCCUUCUAGAACCUCGAGCCUGCCGUGCAUUAUACAAGCUUCCACAUAUGCAGGUCUACACUUUUAAGCACCUUCUAGAUCAUGCUCCUUGAAAAUUUUAAGCUUUCUCUACCACAAACUUACAUAUAAAUCUUGCAAUGCUGAAGUGGGGAGUGUUGAUCCUUCAAAAGCAUGCCAAGUUGGAGGGAAAUGGCCUAGAGUAGACAAGGAUAGGAUAACCAGAAUUUUAUCUUCUUUUAAAACUAUUUUUUUUCUUAUCACUUCUGCUGCUGUAUCAACCAGUCAUCUCUCUAACGUGGCAGCAUCUCUUUUGUUUUUGUUUUUCUCAUGGCAAAGCUUCAGUCCUCUCCUUAUCAGCUUCAUAAAUCCCUAACCCAGAGUUUUUUCUCCAUCUUUAGCAAACAAAUGUAUACAUAUGUGGACCCAAAUUAUGUUUCCUACUUUAUACUUUAAAAGUAAAAAAAUGGACUCUACAUAUGAAACUCACAUAUAUUCACCAUAGAUUUUAAUCAGAGCCUGCUGCAUAAGAAACGGCUUCAUUGUUUUUUUAUUAAAGCUGGAAGAAAAACAAAGUUAGGUGCCAGAAUUUUAAUUUGAUAUAUUUUGGAAUGCUUACUGGCUUAUAGCACCCAUGAUAUGUUUUUCAGAUGUACCAAUUUCUCUUUAAAUUAGCAUGAGUUGAAUUUACUCUGUGGUUAGUGAUUACUGAUUAAACAUAAAGAGCUUGCUGGCUAACCUGCACUGCUCAAGGUUUGCUUUUGUUUUUCCUAGAUCUGGCCAUGCCGGCGAUCUGGGGACUGCAUUGAUAGAUUAUUGGAUGUAUUGAGAAUCGGAGUGGAUGGUUUGGGACUUUGGAUAGUAGAGCUGGAUUGUGAUGCAUGUAUGACAAGUGGGCUACAACCAGUCCUAGGAGCAAGAUAGGACUGACAGUAAGGACAUGUGGAUCUCGUGGUGUGUCGAAUAUAUUGUGCUUCAAUUUCAAUGGCUCAAUAUAAAUGGACGUUAAUUCACAAGUUUUUGUUCAAUUGAUAUUGCCAUCCUGAUCGCUAUCAAGAUCCCGAUCCCCUGUCUCUUCUCCUUCUCGUGGAAGAUCUGCAAGCAGAAGCCCGAGGAGCAGAAGCGCAUCCCGUUCUCGUUCUCCUGUGAGAUCUGAUUGAGCUAGGGAAUCCUUGAGGUGGUGAGCAACUAUAACCAGGGAGAGAAGGGACUUGAGAACAUGCACUACCAUCACAAUGGUCUGAAUGAUUCUGUUGUUGCCACUGCACCCCCUCAUUUGGGAGGUUUCAUCUUAUUAGUAUUCAAUAAUUACAUUAUAUUGCUAAAGAGACUUUAUUAUGCCUACCGUAGUGGUGUAAACUGAACUUUUGUCUACUGGGUUCCUGGCACUCAGGUUUCAUCUACUCUCCGGUAGCCUGUUUUACAUUGACACUUUUACGCCUCUUUCAAUUGGUCGCUUGUAAGCAUAGUUGAGUGGUCCAUGUACUCGGUUAUUUGGUUGUUGUGUCCUGAGAUAUUAUUAGAAUGCUUUGUACUCAUUUAUUUGGUUUCUGUGUGCUACUGAUAUAAAGUAGAAUGGUUAAGAAUUGAUAUUUGGAA